AUAAUGAUACUUCCGUAGCCGAAAGGCGCGGCCCGCGGAGAACCCGGGGGAGGUUAGAUUCCUAUGG
rnacentral:ncRNA from 1 species